GCCGGGUGCGGUGGCGCGCGCCUGUAAUCCAAGCUACCGGGAGGCUGAGGCUGGCGGAUCGUUUGAGCUCAGGAUCUCUGAGCUUCAGCGGACUAUGCCGAUCGGGUGUCCGCACUAAGUUCAGCAUCGAUAUGGUGCUCCUCGGGGAGGUCGGGACCACCAGGUCGCCUAAGGAGGGGUGCACCGGCCCAGGUCGGAAACGGAGCAGGUCAAAGCCCCCGUGCCGCUCAGUAGUGGGAUCGCGCCUGUGAAUAGACGCUGUAGUGCAGCCUGAGUAAUACAGCGGGACCCAGUCUUUU
ensembl:misc_RNA Metazoa_SRP Metazoan signal recognition particle RNA